AUAGAAGCUCAAAUGUCGUCCUUGACGUUGCAAUCAUAUCAUACUUAUCCAGAGCAUGAACAGAAAUAACUCACCAAAACUCUGGAUGUCAUAUCAAACAUAUAGAGGGUGUAGUGGGAUCUCAGUCAGAAUGUGAUUCAUCCAUUUCUGAAUGACCACCUGACAAAAGUCUCCCACGUCUAGGAGCUCCAUCCACCCACGUCUAGGUGAAGUCAAAGGGGGCCGGCAGAGCAACGCAGGCUCUAAGCAAUAUCCCACAUAGCGGGACCCCACAAAGCGGGCAAAUCAGCGCAUACCCUUUACCAUUUCUGGCAAAGGUCCAGACAAUCCCACACACCAGAGUACAAGAAGGCAGUUUCAACAAUAAGUAGCAUAUAACGGAAGCACACGCGGAACAACCAAACGUACAUGUGCCUUUUCAAAAACAAUGUGGUGCAAGGAACAAAUCUCUCACAAAAGUAUUCAUUUUAGGAAAGAAAUGAAAGCAAGAGUGUACAGGGAUUCCAAGCAAUCAUAAUCAGCUCAAUUCCAAUAAGAAGGUUAGGCGAAUUCAAGUAUCCAAAGGAAAUGGAACAGAAUACGCGAAAUCGACCAAAGCUCGAUUUCGGACAGAAUUCCAGUGGCACAUCAAACAAAUAUUUCAGAAUAACAAUUAUGCUCCAAUACCCAUAAAAAGGCUAUGGUCGAACCAUAUAUCAAUCUAUAUUCGGAUGGAACAGAUUUCAUAUGAAACAGGGCUCCCAACACAGAGUUACCUCUGAUUUGGUAACACAAGGUCCAAAUUACAAUCACUGUUUUGCAGAAUUUAUAGGGUCGGAAUCAACAGACGAUAGGGUGGGCAAUUGAACUCCAAAAUUUUCAAACUAUAUGUCAAAAGAGAGAAUUUCAAGUCUAGUUUCAAAUAAAAUCAGUUUGGUACAAAUCAGAAUGUUCAACAGGGGGUUAUAGGCGUUUUAGUAUCAAAAGGUCAGAAAUCUUGAACUCUGUUUUACAGCGUCUAUAGGCUCUUUUGAAACAAAUUUUUGGGUAAGUAUUCGGUGUCCAAAAUCUACAAAAUCGGUGUCAAAAGAAAUACAUACGAGUCUAAUUUCAAACAAAAAUAGUUCCUGCCUGAAUUCUCAUUCUGUACUAAAACUUAUAGCGGAAACAGUGCUUAGGGGUCAANN
rnacentral:lncRNA from 1 species